GUGGCGUGGAUGGGGCAGGUGGGCCGAAGGGGAACCUGGGCCCCAGAGGGAAACCCGGCCUCCUCGUGAUGCCAGGCUUGGAUGGACCCCCUGAAGGAGCCUCCCAUCAUAGCCAAGCAAAUAAAGACAUCUUUGCACAGAC